UGGGGAAUAUUGCACAAUGGGGGAAACCCGUGAUGCAGCGACGCCGCGUGAACGAAGAAGUAUUUCGGUAUGUAAAGUUCUAUCAGCAGGGAAGAUAAUGACGGUACCUGACUAAGAAGCACCGGCUAAAUACGUGCCAGCAGCCGCGGUAAUACGUAUGGUGCAAGCGUUAUCCGGAUUUACUGGGUGUAAAGGGAGCGCAGGCGGGUCGGCAAGUUGGAAGUGAAAAUCAUGGGCUCAACCCAUGACCUGCUUUCAAAACUGUCGGUCUUGAGUGGUGCAGAGGUAGGUGGAAUUCCCAGUGUAGCGGUGGAAUGCGUAGAUAUUGGGAGGAACACCAGUGGCGAAGGCGGCCUACUGGGCACUAACUGACGCUGAGGCUCGAAAGCAUGGGUAGCAAAC
rnacentral:rRNA from 1 species